rnacentral:lncRNA from 1 species
AGUGGCCAUUCUGUGUGGGAAUGGGGCAAGGGUGGGGCUCAAGUCCCAUCUUGUCUUAUGUAGGACUCAGAGGUGCUCCAGAUGACUAUGGGCUGACAGGUGCACCCUCUGCAUGCACACUUGGGAAUCGUAUGACCCUUAGACUGGCUGGACAGCAAGACUCUUGAGAGCCCCUGUUUCUGCUGACCCAUCUAUGGAAUCACAGGCAGGGGUGGCUUUUAUGUGGGUCCUGGGAUCCAAACCCAGUUUCUGCAGCACCUUAUGAAACCUCAUUGUGAAUAUUCGACGAACUUCAGGACGGCGCGAUGCCAUUAUGUCAAAGACUGGCCCACCGCUGCCAGCAGCUUUCAAAGGUUUGGGGGUCUGCAGAGUCCCUGAAGAAUUUUGGCUUGAAGCCCUCUUUCUCCUUCGUUUCUGAAUCCAAUGGUAGAUUAGGCGAAAUGGAAUCCGUAUGGUUCUGAUUCAUUUACACUUAACUCAUCAAAAUGUUCCUUUUUAUGAGCUAUUUGAUGUCCAGAAAGCCUUUUGAGUAGAUUUUAUAAGCCUUUUAAAGACUUUUCUCUUAGAAACAGGCGGUUGCAUUUUGCCAAGAAUAAACAAACUUGAACCUCA